AUUGAACGCUGGCGGCAGGCCUAACACAUGCAAGUCGAACGGUAACAGGAAGCAGCUUGCUGCUUUGCUGACGAGUGGCGGACGGGUGAGUAGUGUCUGGGAAACUGCCUGAUGGAGGGGGAUAACUACUGGAAACGGUAGCUAAUACCGCAUAACGUCGCAAGACCAAAGAGGGGGACCUUCGGGCCUCUUGCCAUCGGAUGUGCCCAGAUGGGAUUAGCUAGUAGGUGGGGUAACGGCUCACCUAGGCGACGAUCCCUAGCUGGUCUGAGAGGAUGACCAGCCACACUGGAACUGAGACACGGUCCAGACUCCUACGGGAGGCAGCAGUGGGGAAUAUUGCACAAUGGGCGCAAGCCUGAUGCAGCCAUGCCGCGUGUAUGAAGAAGGCCUUCGGGUUGUAAAGUACUUUCAGCGGGGAGGAAGGGAGUAAAGUUAAUACCUUUGCUCAUUGACGUUACCCGCAGAAGAAGCACCG
rnacentral:rRNA from 1 species